rnacentral:tRNA from 1 species
CUGGGCCUGGUGCAGGAGGCGCUGCCGUUACUGCGGGCGAGCGCUGCGGGCACGGUGAUCGCCGUCAGUUCGGACGCGGCGGCGGAGGC